UAUAAUAUGAAAUAUUUUGUAAUAUUCACGCAACAAUAAUUGACUUUGUUCCAGUAGCCAGCAACUUUUUGCAGCACACCAAUACACCGCAUGGGGCUACCAGCACUUGCUCAACGGAUGCCCAAUGAAAUGGGCGAAAUGACCUAAUAGCAUAGGGACCCACGCAGUGGGUAUAAGUGCAAUUUUACUGGAAAUUCGUGCGAAAGCAGAGGUCAAAAAGUCAAAAGCAUGUGAACACACACACACACCGGUACUUUUACACUUGCAAGGGUUUGUGUGUGUGUGUGUGUCAGCAAAUAGCUUUGCUUGUGGCAACAUUGACAUGCAUAUAUUACAUUUACAUAUGUAAAUUCAACAGUGGUGACAACGCAGGGUAAGGGACGCAGCGUGUGGAAAGCACUUGCUAUCUUGCAACACCAGUUGCCAACAAGGCGGCAUUGGGCUGGGCGUUCAAGUGUCGUUAGCUUGUUGGAAAUUGGAAUAUGGAAUUGACCAACUGCGCCAGAUUUGCGCCAAUGCCAAGCAAGAGAGAUUGUGCAAUGGUUAAACGUGUAUGCAACAACAACAACAGCAAAAAGUGCAAUCAUUUGAAGAGUAGCUGACACAGGGGACUGAGCUGGAGGCCACAAUGGCAUGAACUGGCACAAAUAAGCGCAAUAGCCGAAUGCUGAGUGUGAAAAAGCACACGCAAAAACGAAUGACAACACACACAAUCGAAACGCAAUCAAGUGCAGGCAGCAUGUGGCAAGUGGCAAAUGACAUAUUGCAUUUACAUAACUGUAUCUGUGUAUGUGUAUGCGUGUGUUACAUAGCCACUUUGUGAUGUCAACCCGGCCAACCGCACCGCACCGCAGCGUCGAGCGAGUCAGUUCAGUCAGCCGGGUCAUUACUAUCGAACGACGGACAGCAACGGCCCGGUCACUUAACACAGUCACUCAACAUUUUCGAUACGAUUUAUUUGCUGCCACAUAUGCUUGCCACCAGCAAUUGAACUUACUGUGCCCAAACGAUAUAUGAAAUACGGAGAAUUUAAUAUGCUGUGGACAAAUUGCAAUCGCAAAUGAGAGUA